rnacentral:misc_RNA from 1 species
GCGUCGCGACGGGCGGUCAUGCGGUGACGCCAUGUUCAAUUUCUUCAAAAGGAAAGGCAAGGUCGAGCCGGGUCCGGCCGAGCGCGGGCGGAAAAAGCCGACCGCCGACGCGGUAAAACUGACCGCAGUCGAGGGCCGCGCCUCACGAAACGACGCCACGAGCGACAAGCCGACCAGCAAGGAUGUAGUGAACCUGCUCAUCCCGGAGACGGACUACCAGCAGAAGACCGGCGUCGGAGCCAUCCUGGACAUCAUGGCCGGCAAGAGGCGCCGCGGUAAACGCAGGCCCGGCCAGAGGUCCGAGUCGUGCCGACACAGUCCACCCAAGCAGAGCUUGCAGCGAAGUCCGUCGGCCGCCCAGCCGCCCACGUCCGCCCGAAAUAACGACGCGGACGCAGACGAUCCGGCGGAGUUCGUCAGGGCGCUCGUUUUGCAGAAAUACGCGAAGCCGACCGACAAAGAAGAUAAACACGUGUCAAUGGUUUACGUCUCACAGCAGCCAAAUAUAGAUGAGAAACGACACACCGAAGCAUUGCUAAGAGAGAUCGCGAGAAGCAUAGACUGCACCGUCGAUCAGAUCAAUGAGGGGAAGCAGAUGGGGUCCGCGGACAGCAAGGACGUGAGCGAGCCCGUCUACGAGACGGUGGACGGCGUCGACGCUUACAAGAACGAACUGAAAGACGAACUCAACAAAUUGUUAGACGUCCAGAAUCGUUUUGAGGCCGAAUCUCCUUCUACGGUGAAGAAAUCCAACUUGAAGCUACCGAAGUCAGACACUGAGGGGUGUUCGGACGACGACAGAUCAGAUAGCGGCAAGAAGAGGGUUACAUUCAGGAAGCACAUAGUCUUCGAUGAUGGAGAGCAGCAGACUGAUGAUGGAGCCGACUCGUCGUUUGAGUCCCUCUCUUCCGGCGAUGAGGUCGAAGAAGACGAAGGAUACCUUGGCGUCUACGAGGACAAUAGAACAGUUAUUAAUGUUAAAAACGGUGAGCCGGUCACAAUUGCGGUCACUUGCAACGAAGAAUUCAAAAGAAUAUCUAGUGAUAACAGUGAUAGUGGUUUUAUAGAUGACAAAGCGGGUGAGGACUUGACCUGUGCCGGUAAGAGUGUAGUGGAGAGUGAGAGUGAGAGUGAGGAGGAGAUCAUAGAGGAGAUAGAAGAAAUAGAGGAGAUAGAGGAGAUAGAAGAAAUUGAAGAAGAAUAUAUAGACGAAGAGGAAUCUAGUGAAGAGGACGAGAAAAGCCUCGUGAGCCAAGAGAAGUUCCAGAACCAUGUGGCCGCUAUCACAGAGCUAUCCGACUCCAGGAUAGAAGAGGCGGAACGUGCGAAAAAUCUCAUUGUGACCUACAGAAAAGAAAUAGAGACCAAAGACCAGGAAAUCGAAGAACUGAAAUGUGAGCUGGCAGCGGCGUACAAAGAAUCGGAAUUAGUUAGGCAAAGGAGUAGCUCGUUGGAAGACGAGCUAAACGCGGCCAGGACCUGCUCCGCCGACUUAGCCGACCAGCUGCAAAGGAAAAACGAUGAAUCUCUUCGUCAGCUCCGAGCUGAGCUGGAAGAUGCUCAGGCUCGGCGAGCUGAACUCGAGUCCAGGGUACUGGCUUUGGAGAGAGAUAGAGAUAGACUGCUGCAAGAGAGAACCUUGCAAGAAGAGAGAGCCAAAGAAGCGUUAGCGUCCGCUGAAGCUGACACCGCGAAAUGGCGGCAGGCUCACGAGGCGGUCAGAUCUCAAGCCGCCGCGAGGGCGGAGAGGAUGCUCGGAGACUGCGAGUGGAAGAUGAGGGAGCUUGAAAAGAGGGCCAGAGAAGCAGAGAAAUCUAAAAAAGAGCUCACAGAGGAAGUGGAAAAACUGAAGGCGGCAUCGCGACCGACUCCGUCGCACGUCGCCGAGCUCCAGCAGCUGCGGGGCCUGGCUUCGGAGCAGCAGCGGUCCGUUCAGUCUCUGACCUUGCAGCUGCAGAGGGCGGAGACGAGGGAAGAGACUCUCAAACUCGAGGUCCAUAGACUGAAGGAGCUGUUGGAGAGAGAGACGGUCAGCGGGAAAGAGAAAGAAGAACGCCAUCAGCAGGCAAUCAAACAAUUAGAAGAGAAGCACAGUAAGGCGAUCGAAAAUCUCAAGUCUGAACACGCCAGUUCUGCCGCAGCAUCACGCGCGGCGCUGGAGCGAAUGCACGCCGAGAGAACGAGGUCAGCAUUAGCUCAGUUGAGAGCCGAAGCUGACCAGGAAGCCAGGAAUGCUGACAGAAAACUAAGAGAGGUCACUACUAGGUUCGAAAACCUCAAAGAAGUACUGGCGAGCAAGGAGGCCCAGUUCGAGCACGCGAUCUCGGAGGCGCACAGCAAGGCGGACUGGGACGUGCUACAGCUGCGCCACCUGCUGGACAAGGCCGACAUUAACUAUGCAAACAACAUUGAGCUAAUGACGGAGAGGCACGAGAAAGAGAAAGAACGCUUAACAGAAGAAUGGGAAGCGAAACUUCGGGAAAUCGAAGAGCAAGCUUCGACCGCGGCGAGCGAAGCUAAGAAGCUUCUAGAAACGACGAGAGCCAAACUCGUUGCAGAGAGAAUCGAGCAAAUCAAUAAACUAAAAGAAAAUCAUCGUGAUGAGAUGAACGAACAAUGGGAACAGUUUAUGAUCGACAAAGAGAAUUGCUUAGCGCGAAUGAAGAUGGAAUGUAGGCAGGAGGGAGAAGAAGAAAGAGUUAAAAGAGAGAAGGAACUGUUAGAAGAAAUUACUGAAUUAAAAUCUCAAAUACAAUCAAAAUCAGUCGAUUUCGACAACUUGGCCGUCAAAGCUGCCGCCUGCGGUAGGACUUUAGCAGUUACCGAGCAGGAACUAAGAGAGGCGUUGGCGAGAGAAAGAGAAUUGAGAGAGAAGAGAUCAGAAGAUUCGUCUAAAGUGAAACAAAUCGAAAAAUCGUCUAAGGAACAAAUCGAGCAUUUGACAAGGAAAUGCGCUUGCCUGAGAAAGCUUUUCGACGACGUGCGCUCCCGGCUGACGGCUCGCGAGCGCACAGCCGAGCAAGAAGCACGCGCCAAAGACAAAGAACUAAAUCAUUUACGCGCCGAAGUUGCUAGACUCACUAAAAUACUCGUUGAGCAAAGGCACGAGGACCAGAGCUGACGGCUGCGAGACGAUCCUGAAGGCCGAGGAGCUAGCCAAGACCGAGGGCAUCCAACGCAAGAAGGGUAUGUCACUGUGACCGUGUACAUAAUAGGUGGAUCACUCAGGACGCCCGAACCAAUAAGGAAACGCCCGACAUUGCCGGAACUGACGCCGCUGCCGCCGGAAGCGCGUCGCACGCUGUAUGAUUACGGAAGCGGACG